AUACUAUAUAAAAUUUGUUCUCAUUUUUUUUCAAUUUUUGAAAGCUUAUUUUUCUUUCCUUCUUCCUUCGUUUUAUAUUCGCCUCUUGCCCGCGCCAAAAAAAUCUAAACAGGAAAAAAAAAAGAAAACGCUAGAGUACAUAAAUCAAACUGACAGCAAAAAGAUGUUUUCUUAGAUUAGAUAAAGCAAAGAACAACGUUACUGGAUUCUCGUAAGACGAUUGCAAUCCUGUAGUUCGCAGCAUUUUGCGGAUCUUUAAAGAGUCAAUGUUGCUUAAGCGGAUUUGUUAGCAGCCUUUAUAAUAUCAAGUGAAAUGGGCAAAGUUAUCUGGACAUUGAAGGAGUUCAAACACAUGAGCUUCUGACUUUUUUUUAUACCCUACACCGCUCGUCGUAUAAGUUUGUGCAGAUGUAUGCAACAACCAGAAGGACUUGAGCUACAUCUACCGACCGAUUAAGAGUCACCUUCUCAAUCGAUCUAAGCUUGUCUGUCCGUUUGUCUCGUUACCUUGUUUUCAACCGACAUAUUUUGUCAGUCACAUAUUUUGGUACAGUCACAUAUUUUGACCCCAGGUUGAACUCUAUUGAAAAUGGUUCUGAUCGAACUAUCCGUUGCAGCACCUCCAAUAUAUGUCUUAAUUUUGAAAAGCCGUUAUAUGAAUAACUGUGUUAAGCGGAAUAAUGUAUGGUAUGGAAUGGUUGGACGCGUCCCACUACAGCGUUCUUACUUGUUUUCUUCUAAUGUCAGUUUAGCAGAUUUUAACGUUUGAAAAAUUUUAAGAAAUCUGCUUUCUUUUGUUGUUCCGUUUUUUAAUGCCAAUCUUAGCCCAGGACUAGAAUGUAAAGCGUAACCCAUAAUCCCGGUUUACUUAGCGAUUAGCUAAAGCAUAAUAGUUUAAGAAUUUUAGAAAAUUUGAUUUGUUUGGUUCUUCCGUUUUUUAAGAAAAAUUCAAGUCCUUAAUUAGACUGUAAAGUGUAGCUAUUCUUCCCAACUUUACGCUUUCUCUGCCUAACUUUAAGGCUAAUUUCACUAAUCAUUUAAUUGCAUCAGGAAAAUCUAUGAAAUCUUUUUCUUCCUCUUCUAUGAUAGAAGUCUAUCCAUAAUACUAAAAUUGUUGUCCUUAAGAUGUGUAAAUGGAUAUUUGAGCGUGCGAAACGACCAUUCGCUGAGAUUAGUAAAGAGAAAGAAGAGUAACAAGCAAGAAAAUUAUUGAUUGAAUAAUUGACCGUUAUUCUAAAAAAGGCUGAAAAAGAUCAAGGGAGUAAAUUUCCAUACUCCGUACUGUUGAGUGGACGUGGCUAAUUCAUUCAUUUUUGCAGCAUGAAAGUGAACAUUUAUAUCAUGUGACGGUGGUUACCCAGCAACUGACGGACAGACGGACUAACUAAUAGGUUUAAAGCGGUGCAGACUUUAUAUAUAUGGUCUUUCAAGCUUCUUUCUGGGUGCUCUAAGCGUUUUAAUAAAUGAAUGAAAUUUUAAUAUUUUCUAAUAUCGAUUCGAAAUGACCGAUUUUACCUAUUUUUGUUUAGGUGCUGCACCUGUAGGACAAAAUUACAAAUUUUUACCGAUAAAUCUCCUGUGGUUUACAAGUACCGCGCAAAAAACUAAAUAUUUUUAAUUUUUGAAAGCCAAGUUGAUCUCAGGUUUUAUUAUACUGCGGUCGUACCCUUCGAUCGAUUUGACUCAAUUUCAAUAUCAAUCUGCGUGAAAGAACUUCCAAUGCUUCAACCAAAAGUUGAGCCAGGUAACUUGCUUUUUACGGCCAAGAGCAUGUUUACGAGAAACAGACAGACAGACGAACAUGCUUAAAUUGUUUUAGAAUUUGAAGCUGAUCCAGAAUAUAGGCAAUUGGUGGGCUCUUUGAGGCUCCAUUUUGGGCGUCGCUAUAAAACUUUCAGGAAAUUUAAUAUCGAAAAAAUAUUCAUCCGUUAUAGCGAUUUUUGAUCGUGCGAAAAGACUGAUCUUUGGGAAUAGUGAAAAAAGAAAAAUAAGAAUUUUAAAAACUUUUAAUUUAUUUUCUUAUUUAUUUUUGAAAAAAUAUAUUUAAUAAUAAUUAUUUCAUUUUGGAUUAUUUUAUCAUCAUGUCUGGCUUAAUGAUGAACGGAAAGUCAAAAACAAAAAUUGUACAUUCACAUUUACAAAAAAUAUAUAUAUAUAUAUAUAAAGUAUUUGGUUAAUUAUAGUUCAUUCUUAUAUAUGGUUUCUUCAAAUUCCUCUCAGCAGGAAAGAACAAAAGGAAAAGCACAUAACUACAAAUGAAAAUCAAGAACUGCAAAGUCUUAUCAACCAAAAAGAGUAAAAAAAAAAGUAAAAAAAUGACAAAAACAAUAGCACAUCUGCGGCAGAAUAAUAAGAUAUCGUCAACCAAAAUACCGAACAAAACAAACAAUUCAAAGUUGUCUGGAAGAAACUCACACACCGAUGGCAUAUUAAAUUUUGAAACUCUUCAAUCAAAGAAGUUUUCUUAAACAAAGUCAUCAUUCAUUCAUAGAAACAUCAUAUCAUCGUCAGAGUGAAAUGUCCCGAAAGAAUUACAUAAAAAAAA